rnacentral:rRNA from 1 species
UACAGAGGGUGCAAGCGUUGUUCGGAAUUAUUGGGCGUAAAGCGCGUGUAGGCGGCUUUGCAAGCCGGGUGUGAAAGCCCUCAGCUUAACUGAGGAAGUGCGCCCGAAACUGCAGAGCUUGAGUACCGGAGAGGAUGGUGGAAUUCCCCAAGUAGAGGUGAAAUUCGUAGAUAUGGGGAGGAACACCGGUGGCGAAGGCGACCAUCUGGACGGAUACUGACGCUGAGACGCGAAAGCGUGGGUAGCAAACAGG